rnacentral:rRNA from 1 species
GACGAACCGUGCGAACGUUGUUCGGAUUCACUGGGCUUAAAGGGCGCGUAGGCGGCUUGCCAAGUCAGGGGUGAAAUCUUUCGGCUCAACCGGAAAAGUGCUUCUGAUACUGGCGGGCUGGAGGAGGGUAGGGGCGGAUGGAACUUCCGGUGGAGCGGUGAAAUGCGUAGAUAUCGGAAGGAACACCAACGGCGAAAGCACUCUGCUGGGCCGACACCGACACUGAGAGACGAAAGCUAGGGGAGCAAAUGGG